rnacentral:rRNA from 1 species
UACGAAGGGGGCUAGCGUUGCUCGGAAUCACUGGGCGUAAAGCGCACGUAGGCGGAUCUUUAAGUCAGGGGUGAAAUCCUGGAGCUCAACUCCAGAACUGCCUUUGAUACUGGCAAUCUUGAGUCCGGGAGAGGUGAGUGGAACUGCGAGUGUAGAGGUGAAAUUCGUAGAUAUUCGCAAGAACACCAGUGGCGAAGGCGGCUCACUGGCCCGGUACUGACGCUGAGGUGCGAAAGCGUGGGGAGCAAACAGG